GAAGCAGCACAGUUCUUUAUAGUGACUACGUCAGUAUCUCGUUAACGUAGGAUUAGUUUGUGGAAGUGUACUUUGCUGCAACAUCAUGGCCUGGAAGACUUUGUGGAAAUACUGUAUUAUUUUUGCUGCUGCAUACCAAGGCCUGAUGAGAGAGACUGCACAGCAACAAACAUAACUACGAAGACAGUUCCAGCGGCUGUCAGUCCACCAAUCAACGCUGGAAAAAGCUGUCCGGUCAACUGUUUGAGAGGAACCUGUACAUUUCUUGAUGAUGGAAAUAUUGACUGCACGGAUGGGUGUAACGAUGGGUAC